GACGAACGCUGGCGGCGUGCUUAACACAUGCAAGUCGAACGGUACGGCUCCAUCUUGCUGGGGUACACUAGUGGCGAACGGGUGAGUAACACGUGGGUUACCUGCCCUGCACUGCGGGAUAUGCCUGUGAAACUGGGUCUAAUACCGGAUAGGACCUUUGUGUGUAUACUGUGGUGGAAAGUUUUUUCGUUGUUGGUUGGGCUCGCGGCGUAUCAGCUUGUGGGUGGGGUAAUGGCAUACCAAGGCAGCGACGGGUAUCCGGCCUGAGAGGGUGGACGGCCACAUUGGGCUUGAGACACGGCACAGCCUACUCCGGGACGCAGCAGUGGGGAAUAUUGCACAAUGGGCGGAAGCAUGAUCCAGCGACGCAGCGUGGGGGAUGACGGGCUUCGGGUUGUAAACUACUUUCACCAUAGACGAAGGGUUUCUGACGGUAGAUGGAGAAGAAGCACCGGCUAACUACGUG
rnacentral:rRNA from 1 species